AUGUAUCCUGAUUUGGAUACCUGUUUACAUGACGAGAUGGCCGCUGCAACCUUCAAAGGUCCUCCUAGCGAAUGUUCCAGGAAUAAGAAAAUGGAAAGAAAGCCUUCGGGUAGAAGACGUGUAUUUGUUCAGACAGAAACCGGGUGUGUUCUUGGCAUGGAAUUAGAAAGAAGUGACAAUGCGCACACUGUGAAGAGGAAGUUACAGGAACUUUUUACAUAG